rnacentral:misc_RNA from 1 species
UGUGGGAGCUGGCUUGCCAGCGAUAGCGGUGUGUCAGUCACAUAAAUGUUGGCUGAUAAGCCCUCAUCGCUGGCAAGCCAGCUCCCACA